CUAUCUCUUAUGAUGUAUAAAACAUUCAUUGCCCCAGCUGCAUUUGUGUGAUGCUACAUUUACAGGUAUCGAGCACAUCCUCUCCAGAAGCCCAUCUGGACACCCACCUGCUCAACAUUGCCAUCCUGCCACACUCUCCGGAUUCAUCCCUGCUCUCCCUUGGGUCUUCUUUCCACAUGACUGCUCUAGAAGAUCGUUUGACCCCUAUUGAGCCACAUCAUCUUACCUUUGUUGAUUCAGAGAGUCCGAGUGGGAAGAUUGUGUACAAUGUGACUGUCCCUUUGCCAACAAAUCAAGGUAUUGUCGAACACAGGGACAAGCCCCUCUCUCCAGUAAAGUAUUUUACACAGGAUGAUGUCAAUCAUGGCAAAAUUGUGUACCGUCCGCCUAGAGCUGCCUCACAUAUCAGAGAGAUGAGGGAGUUCUCCUUUGCUGGUCUUCCUGAAUCUGUUAGCUUUCAUUUUACAGUGUCUGAUGGAGCUCGUACAAGUCCUGAAAUGGUGUUUACCAUCCACCUGCUUUCCUCUGAUGGGCAGCCUCCAUUCUUACAGAUCACUGCUCCAGUCCUUGAAGUCAGUCAAGGAGGGAGAGCCACCAUUGGGAUACAGCUGACCAUAGGUGAUGUUGACACAGUUCCCGAAGACCUCUUCUUUGAGGUGGUGGAGCCUCCGCAUCAUGGAGCUCUCCUCAAGCACAGUUCUGGAUUUCCUAACCACCUGAGUGCAGGAGAUACUUUCACCUAUGAGGAAGUCACCAGAAAUACUUUGCAGUACAUCCAUGAUGGGUCUUCCUCAACAGAAGACACGAUGGAGAUAUCAGUAUCUGAUGGAGUCACCACAGCAGCAACAAGGCUGAAAGUGGAAGUGAGGCCAAUGGAGAAUGAAGGUCCGAGGUUGGAUCCUACCUGCUCAAUGGCCAUCACAUUGGCCGGCAAAAGCUCUGUGAUCAUCACCCGAGCUCAUUUUGCCUAUAUUGAUAAUAAUUCUCCUGAUUCCCAGAUAAGGAUUCAGUUAAUUUCUCUUCCGAUGUAUGGCACUCUUAUACGGGUUAUCCCUGGAAGACGAUCUGAGGAGUUUUCUGAGGUCUACAACUUCACAAUGGAGGACAUCAAUCAUCAAAGAAUCAGGUAAUUUUGGGUAUACAUUACAAAGUUCUUCCAAGAAGUGACAAACACC
rnacentral:lncRNA from 11 species